rnacentral:rRNA from 1 species
GACGAACGCUGGCGGCGUGCUUAACACAUGCAAGUCGAACGGAAAGGCCCUGCUUUUGUGGGGUGCUCGAGUGGCGAACGGGUGGGUAACACGUGAGUAACCUGCCCUUGACUUUGGGAUAACUUCAGGAAACUGGGGCUAAUACCGGAUAGGAGCUCCUGCUGCAUUGUGGGGGUUGGAAAGUUUCGGCGGUUGGGGAUGGACUCGCGGCUUAUCAGCUUGUUGGUGGGGUAGUGGCUUACCAAGGCUUUGACGGGUAGCCGGCCUGAGAGGGUGACCGGCCACAUUGGGACUGAGAUACGGCCCAGACUCCUACGGGAGGCAGCAGUGGGGAAUAUUGCACAAUGGGCGGAAGCCUGAUGCAGCAACGCCGCGUGCGGGAUGACGGCCUUCGGGUUGUAAACCGCUUUCGCCUGUGACGAAGCGUGAGUGACGGUAAUGGGUAAAGAAGCACCGGCUAACUACGUG